CAGCAGCCGCGGUAUACGAAGGGUGCAAGCGUUAAUCGGAAUUACUGGGCGUAAAGCGUGCGUAGGCGGUUUGUUAAGUCUGUUGUGAAAUCCCCGGGCUCAACCUGGGAAUGGCAAUGGAUACUGGCAAGCUAGAGUGUGUCAGAGGAUGGUGGAAUUCCCGGUGUAGCGGUGAAAUGCGUAGAGAUCGGAAGGAACAUCUGUGGCGAAGGCGACUAUCUGGGCCAACACUGACACUGAGGCACGAAAGCUUGGGGAGCAAACAGGAUUAGAUACCCCGGUAGUCCCUGUCUCUUAUACC
rnacentral:rRNA from 1 species